rnacentral:rRNA from 1 species
GAUGAACGCUAGCUACAGGCUUAACGCAUGCAAGUCGAGGGGAAACGACAUCGAAAGCUUGCUUUUGAUGGGCGUCGACCGGCGCACGGGUGAGUAACGCGUAUCCAACCUGCCCACCACUUGGGGAUAACCUUGCGAAAGUAAGACUAAUACCCAAUGACGUCUCUAGAAGACAUCUGAAAGAGAUUAAAGAUUUAUCGGUGAUGGAUGGGGAUGCGUCUGAUUAGCUUGUUGGCGGGGUAACGGCCCACCAAGGCGACGAUCAGUAGGGGUUCUGAGAGGAAGGUACCCCACAUUGGAACUGAGACACGGUCCAAACUCCUACGGGAGGCAGCAGUGAGGAAUAUUGGUCAAUGGGCGAGAGCCUGAACCAGCCAAGUAGCGUGCAGGAUGACGGCCCUAUGGGUUGUAAACUGCUUUUAUAAGGGAAUAAAGUGAGUCUCGUGAGACUUUUUGCAUGUACCUUAUGAAUAAGGACCGGCUAAUUCCGUGCCAGCCGCCGCCGUAA